GAACAUGGCUGGGAAAAAGUAAGUGAUCAAGGGCACAACUUGCCUUCAAUGAGCUCCUGCUCAGCUACUUCAACCUGCUGCUCACCAGGAUCCUCAGUCACGUGCUCUUCUACUCGCCACAAUACAAACAAGCACAGUGUAUACAGAGAAAUUAACAUUACACCAAACAUAAUAACAAACUGAAUGAUAAUGAUCUACACGAAGCUACGAGACUAACGCAACUUGAACGGAUCAAAUCGGAGUUAAAACGGAGGGGUUAUGAAUUUCCGAAGGUUCUAUGUAUUUUGUACUAGAUUAAAUAGAAUUUAAAUUUUGAUAUGACUUUCAUAUCAAAACAGAUGUACUAUUUGAUAAAAAUAAUAUUAUAAAAUUAUAGAAACUGGAAUGGGUCAAAAAGGAGUUAAAAUAAAUUAAAUAUGAUUUAUACAAGUUUCUCGAAUUAUUUUUGUAUUAAAAUCAAUUUCUAAAUGAUUUUCUCUGUUUUAUAAUCAGUCUGGACUGCGCGCUAAAUCCCAGAAUGUGCAGGGGCUAACUCAGAAGAUUCACCAGACUCUGGUAACAGUAGAACAAGGACUGCGGGUUAUUUCUUUUAUUUUCCAGGGGCUCUUUAGCAAAUUGGCACGGCGAAGGGGUAUCUGCGCUUCAGAGCCAUCGGAUCCAAGUCCUGCGGCCAUGAUUAGAUCCUACCGUUGAGGAAUCUGUAUGUGCCAGGGAUCGUUGGAUCCAAGAUCUACGGGUAAGGUUCUAUCAGACAAAGGGGUAUCCUUGAUUCAAUCUCAGCCGCACACUGUCCAUCCCACGGCCGAACGGCUUCUUCAUCCUCCAUACGUCUUUGCCUGGGGCCAGCCGUGCGCUGCACAGCCCUGAUGUCGACCUUCCAGCAGGAGCGCCAAGCAUCGCGCGGGUGCCCGCGAUGGGGAGCAAGCCGGCCGGUGAUGCCGCCGAGGGGGAGGAGUGGAAGUCCAUCAGCGGCGAGAGACACCGGUAUGCGGGCCAAGGCGGACGAGGAGAGUAGCGAAACGGCGGUCGGAUCUCACUGUCACUCAGCUGCCUCGUCUUCCUCCCUCAAGCUCUCGAUUCACUGAUGCUACUCGAUGAGCAGGGCAGGGCGGUUGACAAGGAGGUUAUUUUGCCGGCCAUCAGACCCCACAAAUCACCGACCACUACCGCAGUAAACAAGGCACAGAAUACGCGAGUAUAAAACUCCCAGGGAGAUACGCACCGGAGAUCCAAGUGAUGACUGGAAUGAUGGCCGCCGGAGACGCCAGAUGCGGACGACCCUUCCCCCGGCAAGCGCUACUCCACCGGCGAGCCUCACAGCGGCAAUCGGCACGAGCUCUCUCUCACGGGUAACAGCGCGUUUCACUCUCCCUCCCUGAUUUCUCUCUGCAGGCAACGCGGUGCAUCCCGACUCGUGGGCAACUGCGGCGGCGAUGUCAUGCGCAUGGCGAUCCGGGGUCUUAUCCCACGACGCGGCGGACUCGGUCAGUCGUUCCUCAAAUCAUGCGUGGCGGCGGAGAUUUCGGUCAUGGCCGUUGCGGAGGCGCGGG
rnacentral:lncRNA from 1 species